rnacentral:tRNA from 1 species
GCCCCUGUAGCUCAACGGACAGAGCAUCGGACUUCUAAUCCGGUGGUUGCGCGUUCGAUUCGCGCCAGGGGCG